UGGACGUCGUGUGCAGGAGCGGCGGUAAGAACGGGGGUGAGAGGGUUCAAUGGAAUUACGUGGCGUAAAGGGGGGUGAGGGGGCUUGACAAGUCGGUGUCGAAAUGCCGGGGCGUAACCUGGGAGCUGCAUUCUAAAAUGGCUUGCUAGAGUAUGGUAGUGGGAGGUGGAAUUUCAGGUGUAGCGGUGAAAUGCGUAGAUAUCUGAAGGAACAUCAGUGGCGAAGGCGACCUCCUGGACCAAUACUGACGCUCAGGUGCGAAAGCGUGGGGAGCAAACAGGAUUAGAUACCCGGGUAGUC
rnacentral:rRNA from 1 species